AAAAAAAGCCAAACCCAUCAGAACAGACCCAGUAAAGUUCCUUCACAGAAUUACAGAAAUCUCAACAAAUGAACUUCAAUUUUAGUUUAUACUCAUUGAAAUUGGGUAGGAAAAAAUACAAGACGAAGAGACUAAAAUAAGCUAAAAAAGGCAUUGAAAAAUAAAACAAAAAUGUAUGAAAAUGAAAGCAAAGAGAAACACUGAAACUCACAGUUGAAACAUGAAGA
rnacentral:misc_RNA from 1 species